AGAACGAACGCUGGCGGCAUGCCUAAUACAUGCAAGUCGAACGAACACUUCGGUGUUAGUGGCGCACGGGUGCGUAACGCGUGGGAAUCUGCCCUUGGGUUCGGAAUAACAGUUGGAAACGACUGCUAAUACCGGAUGAUAUCGAAAGAUCAAAGAUUUAUCGCCCAGGGAUGAGCCCGCGUAGGAUUAGCUAGUUGGUGAGGUAAAGGCUCACCAAGGCGACGAUCCUUAGCUGGUCUGAGAGGAUGAUCAGCCACACUGGGACUGAGACACGGCCCAGACUCCUACGGGAGGCAGCAGUAGGGAUAUGACAAUGGGCGCAAGCCUGAUCCAGCAAUGCCGCGUGAGUGAUGAAGGCCUUAGGGUUGUAAAGCUCUUUACCCGAGAUGAUAAUGAACAGUAGUCGGAGAAGUAACGCCCCGACUAACUCCGUGCCAGUACGCCGAC
rnacentral:rRNA from 1 species